AGCCGAGUAGCUCAAUGGUAGAGCACCCGACCGAUAAUCGGUAUGUUGAAGGUUCAAGUCCUUCCUCGGCUACCA
rnacentral:tRNA from 1 species